UACACACGGAUAACAUACCGAAAGGUAUGCUAAUACGGGAUAAUAUAUUUGAGAGGCAUCUCUUAAAUAUCAAAGGUGAGCCAGUACAGGAUGGACCCGCGUCUGAUUAGCUAGUUGGUAAGGUAACGGCUUACCAAGGCGACGAUCAGUAGCCGACCUGAGAGGGUGAUCGGCCACAUUGGAACUGAGACACGGUCCAAACUCCUACGGGAGGCAGCAGUGGGGAAUAUUGCACAAUGGGCGAAAGCCUGAUGCAGCAACGCCGCGUGAGUGAUGAAGGCCUUCGGGUCGUAAAACUCUGUCCUCAAGGAGGAUAAUGACGGUACUUGAGGAGGAAGCCCCGGCUAACUACGUGCCAGCAGCCGCGGUAAUACGUAGGGGGCUAGCGUUAUCCGGAUUUACUGGGCGUAAAGGGUGCGUAGGCGGUCUUUCAAGUCAGGAGUGAAAGGCUACGGCUCAACCGUAGUAAGCUCUUGAAACUGGGAGACUUGAGUGCAGGAGAGGAGAGUGGAAUUCCUAGUGUAGCGGUGAAAUGCGUAGAUAUUAGGAGGAACACCAGUUGCGAAGGCGGCUCUCUGGACUGUAACUGACGCUGAGGCACGAAAGCGUGGGGAGCAAACAGGAUUAGAUACCCUGGUAGUCCACGCUGUAAACGAUGAGUACUAGGUGUCGGGGGUUACCCCCUUCGGUGCCGCAG
rnacentral:rRNA from 1 species